AUUGAACGCUGGCGGCAUGCUUUACACAUGCAAGUCGAACGGCAGCGCGGGCUUCGGCCUGGCGGCGAGUGGCGAACGGGUGAGUAAUGCAUCGGAACGUGCCCAGCAGUGGGGGAUAGCCCGGCGAAAGCCGGAUUAAUACCGCAUACGACCUGUGGGUGAAAGCGGGGGACUGAAAGGCCUCUCGCUAUUGGAGCGGCCGAUGUCGGAUUAGCUAGUUGGUUGGGUAAAGGCUUACCAAGGCGACGAUCCGUAGCUGGUCUGAGAGUACGACCCGCCACCCUAAGACUGAAAGAGCGCCCAGACUCCUACGGGAGGCAGCAGUGGGGGAUUUUGGACAAUGGGGGCCACCCUGAUCCAGCCAUGCCGCGUGCGGGAAGAGGGCCUUCGAGUUGUAUACCGCUUUUGUUCGGGAAGAAAUCCUCUGGGCUAGUUCCCCGGGUGGAUGACGUUACCGGAAGAAUAAGCACCGGCUAACUACGUG
rnacentral:rRNA from 1 species